rnacentral:rRNA from 1 species
GUAUCCUGGCUCAGGAUGAACGCUAGCGACAGGCUUAACACAUGCAAGUCGAGGGGCGAGCAUGAUUUGUAGCAAUACAGAUUGAUGGCGACCGGCGCACGGGUGAGUAACGCGUAUGCAACUUACCUAUCAGAGGGGGAUAGCCCGGCGAAAGUCGGAUUAAUACCCCAUAAAACAGGGGUCCCGCAUGGGAAUAUUUGUUAAAGAUUCAUCGCUGAUAGAUAGGCAUGCGUU